rnacentral:sRNA from 1 species
GACCCUGUAAUACGCUAAUUGCUGUGCC